GACAGUUCGAAAAUGCUGCUGGGAGUAGCGAUCACGUAGGGCGCUGCGUUGUAGGGGAGAGGAGCGUGUCCCGGGCGCUCCCAAGGGCUCUGUGCACUGCGGCCGUCGGUGUGGCCGGGCUCUGUUUCCGUCUGAGCUCCGGCCCCGCAAAGCUGACUUGUGGGGCAGGGAAAAACACGAAGUUCUACCAAGGGCAGGACAAGAAACAGGAAUAGUAUGAUUUUCUCAGGAGAUUAGAAGAAGCAGUUAAAAGGAAAGCUGGAGAAUUAAGAUCACCUAUAUAUAUAUGUGUAUUAAUCAUUACAUCAUAACUGACAUUAUCAACGUGCUGCUCAUCCAAGACUCUUACAAACACUUCACAGCCAAGCAGAUACUGAAGGAGAAAAAAAUACUUUUUUUUGCUAGAAGACUUCACGUAAAUUCAUCUCACAGAUCUUCAGGACUGUUGUACUGAAGCCAGUUACAAAGGACUUUUUUCUUUGGACUUUUUCAGUAAAUAGCUUUUGAGAAUUGGAGAAGAUUGAGAGAAUACCUACGCUGCCUCCACUAAAAGACUGGAAACUACUCUUCUGUGAAGUGGAAUGAUAUUUUCAUGGCUAAUGCUGAAAGCAGUGUGCAUACAGAUGGAAUUACACACCUAUUUCAAAGUGAAACGUUAAUUUAUUCAGUGGAAGAAUGCACUUCUAGUGACUGUGCCUCAAUAAAACCUCAGUCUGGCUGUGAAACUUGAUUUCCAUUACCAGCUACAGAAGAAGGAGCUACUAUUCUAGUUACUGCAAGUUUUUUAUUACUGUAACUAUAUUCUGGGUGCUUGGUGCCUAUGGCAGUAGUACAUUUUUACUGCAUAAUAACAAAUCAAUUAUUCCAGUAUAGCUAUAAAUAUUUACGGUCAGUGGGAAAGGCUAAUAUAUCCUCCUGUUAUACUCUGCCUUGAACAUUCAUUGUUAUAUUAUUUCUAGUGUCUUUAGUCAAGUAUUUCUAUAUCAUUUAGAACUGCCAAUCCAAUCCAUUUAUUGGAAUUUUUAAUUUCUGGAAGUCUCUGUGUAGAAUGGCUCUUCCAGUGUCUUGAGAUUCGAUCUACUUAUGCAAGAUAUAUAAGUAAAUUUGAAAUUAUAUGUUUAAUGAUGAAAAUCAGAUCUUAUGCUGAAAAUUACUUGAGGCAGACAUGAAGUCUCCCCAAUCUUGCAAAGCGGAGUUUCAAAUAAACCUGUGAUGCU
rnacentral:lncRNA from 7 species